GUGGGGAAUAUUGGACAAUGGGCGGAAGCCUGAUCCAGCAACGCCGCGUGAGGGAUGACGGCCUUCGGGUUGUAAACCUCUUUCAGUACCGACGAAGCGGAAGUGACGGUAGGUACAGAAGAAGCACCGGCCAACUACGUGCCAGCAGCCGCGGUAAUACGUAGGGUGCGAGCGUUGUCCGGAAUUAUUGGGCGUAAAGGGCUCGUAGGCGGUUUGUCGCGUCGGGAGUGAAAACACUGGGCUUAACUCAGUGCUUGCUUCCGAUACGGGCAGACUAGAGGCAUGCAGGGGAGAACGGAAUUCCUGGUGUAGCGGUGAAAUGCGCAGAUAUCAGGAGGAACACCGGUGGCGAAGGCGGUUCUCUGGGCAUGUCCUGACGCUGAGGAGCGAAAGUGUGGGGAGCGA
rnacentral:rRNA from 1 species